UGAUGCAACUUUAAAUACAGACA
rnacentral:piRNA from 1 species